GGGUGAUACUGACCUUAUAGAAUGUAUUUAGAAGAUUUCCUUCCUCUUAUGUUUUUUGAUAAUAGUUUGAGGAAAAUUGGUAUUGACUCUUCUUUAAAUGCAGAUAAACUUUGGGGCACCUGGGUGGCCCAGUCCGUUGAGCGUCCA